AGUGAACGCUGGCGGUAGGCCUAACACAUGCAAGUCGAACGGCAGCACAGAGGAGCCUGCUCCUUGGGUGGCGAGUGGCGGACGGGUGAGGAAUACAUCGGAAUCUACUCUGUCGUGGGGGAUAACGUAGGGAAACUUACGCUAAUACCGCAUACGACCUACGGGUGAAAGCAGGGGAUCUUCGGACCUUGCGCGAUUGAAUGAGCCGAUGUCGGAUUAGCUGGUUGGCGGGGUAAAGGCCCACCAAGGCGACGAUCCGUAGCUGGUAUGAGAGGAUAAACAGCCACACUGGAACUGAGGUACGGUCCAGACUCCUACGGGAGGCAGCAGUGGGGAAUAUUGGACAAUGGGCGCAAGCCUGAUCCAGCCAUACCGCGUGGGUGAAGAAGGCCUUCGGGUUGUAAAGCCCUUUUGUUGGGAAAGAAAUCCAUCUGGUUAAUACCCGGGUGGGAUGACGGUACCCAAAGAAUAAGCACCGGCUAACUUCGUGCCAGCCGCCGCCGUAA
rnacentral:rRNA from 1 species